GACGAACGCUGGCGGCGUGCUUAACACAUGCAAGUCGAACGGAAAGGCCCUGCUUUUGUGGGGUUCUCGAGUGGCGAACGGGUGAGUAACACGUGAGUAACCUGCCCUUGACUUUGGGAUAACUUCAGGAAACUGGGGCUAAUACCGGAUAGGAGCUCCUGCUGCAUGGUGGGGGUUGAAAAGUUUCGGCGGUUGGGGAUGGACUCGCGGCUUAUCAGCUUGUUGGUGGGGUAGUGGCUUACCAAGGCUUUGACGGGUAGCCGGACUGAGAGGGUGACCGGCCACAUUGGGACUGAGAUACGGCCCAGACUGCUACGGGAGGCAGGAGUGGGGAAUAUUGCACAAUGGGCGGAAGCCUGAUGCAGAAACGCCGCGUGCGGGAUGACGGCCUUCGGGUUGUAAACCGCUUUCGCCUGUGACGAAGCGUGAGUGACGGUAAUGGGUAAAGAAGCACCGGCUAACUACGU
rnacentral:rRNA from 1 species